AUUAUUAACCACAUAUCUCUAAGAACUGUGAAUAUUUUUUGGCCUUCUUGCUGGGAGAUCUGCUCUCCUUCCAAAAUUGUGCAUGUUUGCAACACUGCCAGCAAUUUAUGCACUUAAAAUAUACAAAAAAGCAAGUUGUUAUUACAACUAACCUUCUUACAUGAACACUGAAGUAAGUCAUGUGCUAGUCCUAAAUAAGCAAAUUAGAAAAUUACAUUAUCUCACUUCAGAGCUAUGGAAGCUGAACAAAGAGUUCAAAGAUGAAAUUAAGGUCAUAGCCAUCUCAAGCUAAUUCAAAGAUUGUGUUUUCUCUCAGCAAACAAUGUAUUUUCUUAUGUUCACUCUCAGUUUGUUCUUCAUACAUUUUUCAUGAGAAUUCAAGAGGCCGAUUACAGUACACACCUACCUUUUUUUCUUUUUUUUUUAAAUCAACUUGCAGGUUGCUUUGAAAAGUCCUCCUGUCUGUGACAGCCAUACAGCAGGCUACCUGCAGCCACACUGUUCCCUGUGCUUGGGAGUGUUGUGCUGGAGGCAGGCAACUGCAGAAACCAGGAUGCCCUGCUUCCUUGCAUGACAAAAUGUGACAGUGUAAACCUGUAUAAAUAUGGGAUAAGUGCUGGUUCACUCAUCUGAGCUCCUCAGUUAAGCAUUUGUUAAGUGUUUGCAGGUGGUAAUCCUUCAGAGCAAAGUGCUGAGGCAGUUGAUGACAAAAGGAUUUGGACUGCUGAGUUCAUGAAGCAAGGUGAAUGACUUUACCACUAGAAGGUUUCCUCAUUUCACAGGAUUGGUUUGUGUUGAGCCAGAUCUCACCAAGUUGCUUCUGUGGUGACUAUUUCUAUCUAAAGAUGCAUGGAUGCAUUUAUUUUUUCAGCUUGUUCUACCAGUAUCAACCUUUGUGUCCAAUAGCUGGGACAAAGAAAGAAGUUAAACCUCAUCAAAAUGAAAUAGUGCCUUAUAUGAGUGUUGAGCAGAAAGGCAAAAAACAUGAAAUGAGUUCAGAAGAACAUUGCAUGCCUCAAAAGAAGAUAAGCCUGGAAAGUAAACCUACGUUGUCUUUCCCAAAAUGAAGAAAACAAGCUGGCUUGAAAUUACUUAUUCCACUCUAAGACAAACAGGAGACCAUGGAGACAGAUAAGACCAUGUUUUCAGCAGUCACCAAGGAGGAAAAAUGCUGGUGAGAAGAACACUUAAAAACAGAAGGCAGGAAAGAAGAGAGAGGUUAAAAUUUUGGAAGUGCUUUCUUUGAAUAACUUAUUUAACCCUUUAAAACAGGUGCCAUAACUUUCAGCUCUGUCAAGCCAAUUUAGGUAUCCUAGUAUAUGCUUAGGAAUGUCAUUAAAACAUUUUUGUAUAGCUCAAAAAAUAUUUCUGGAGAUUGCAGGAGAAACUUAACUACUCCUAAUUACAUUUUGAUCACUAUAAGAGUUAGAGAAACAGUGAGCCAGCUAGGACAUACUGAAUCAAGUUUAAUCUACAAACAUGCCUUGAGAAAAGGCUUUUUCUAGGGCUUGAAGUAUAAAAUACAAAGAUUUAACGAAAUCCUGAUGCUGCUGUUUAUGCAUGUGUUGGUUGGCUCCAGAGGUGACCAAGCAGACAGGAGCAUUACAGAGACCAGGUUUCAUCCUUAUUACAGAUAAGCCUGAAGUCACCAUCCCAGUGGGUCUGAUCUGCAUUUCCCUCAGACAGCAAUGGAGCUUUUUGCUACAGAAACCUUUCUGUCUUGUUUUCUCAGUAGUCUGUCAUGCAAUUUGGCUGCCGGAGAUUGAGUGGACAAGCUAGACUUGCAGGGGGCAAAUCCAUGCCAUGGAGAAACACUCGAGUAUGCAAGGCACUUCCUGUGGUGGAUGUCACACUAGAUCUAGACACUGAGAGUAUGUGUCAGUUGGUAUGCCUCACAGGCAUCUGGUGAACUUUGCUUUGGGGCUGCUUUUACACUGCUGUCUCAUUAUAGCUGGAAACUGUCUCCACUCAACCAUAACUGAUUGGAGGUUCAGUGAGUGUGGUGUGAUAAAUUGCUGCUAGGUUAGAGGUCUUGUAUCUUCAACAUUUAUCCACCUUGGUGUGAAUGACUAUAAAUACCGCAAAGCAAUGAGAGCUCUGAUUUCAAAGAGGACUGCCUGUAUGAACAAGGCAUGCAGGACCUGCCUCGGUGUGAACUUUUAAGCAAGGAGGCAUUUUAUAUUAAACUGUCCUUACCAUCAGCUAAUCUUAUUCUUGCUAUGGGAAUUCAGUUGCGAACUGACCCCAGUACAUAAUGCUAUACAUAAAUUACUAACAGAACUUUGAAGUUAUUUCCACAUUUGCAGAGGAAGAUAAAAAGUAUGUCCUAAGGGGAUUCUAGACAGACAUGUUUUGGAAAUUAAAGCAAAUAACAAGAAAGAGGUUCAGUAUCCAAGAGAGCCUUGUAGCAAGGAGGACAAUAGUAACAAGGAUUCAGAGUAUCAAUCAUGUCAGAGUAUUCUAAUAGGCUAAAUGGUCUCCCUGCAUAGUUACAUGUAAGUACGUGUUUAUAUAUUGAUAGAAGUGUGCACUUUUACAUGUAUGCAGAUAGAUAUGUAAAGAAAACCAGGGGUAUUUUUGGUUAUGAGGCUAUUCAUAUUUGAACAUUUUCAAGGUUGUGAGUAUAUGAAAGUUGUUAAAUAGCUAUUUCCCCUGUGUAGGUAAUAGCUGUCAGUUAUGCCAUCCUAACAAUGACCCCCCAUCAGGUUUCACACAAACAAGUCAUCAUGCAUUUUGUAACAAUUUCUAAAUGUAAAUUAUUUACGUAGAGAAUUCUUUCUGCUUAGUUGGGUGGCUCCAGAGGUUUAUGAAUACUUUAAUAUUUGAAAUAAAUAAUUCAUGCCCAUUUCCUUUUUAAUCUGGUCCUAAGAAAUCCUUUAAUAUUCAGAGUAAGCAUAUUUUAGGGAUUGUGGGCAUUUCUUGAAUGUAGGUAGGAUGAUUCACAAAAGUUAAGGCCUUGCUGUAGUGAUGUUCUUAAGUCACAGUCUUAAUUUUGAGGACGUUUUUAAUCCCAUCCAAUUUGUUAAAAGGCCCAGCACAAGAUCGUGCUGAAUUCCAUGGGAUUUAGUAUGUGCUCAAGUGCCUUCCUGAGCCUUAACUCCUGCUGAGCUUCUACAGCCUUUCAAAAUCCUCCCCGAAGGCAGGUUCUGUGCUGCAGACAGAACAGGCUGUAAGUGCUGUGGCAGACUUUCUUAUGUUGGCUUGAUGCUGCUUGCAGCUGAUCCAGCACUGCUCCUGCUUUGGGGGAGUUUAGAGGAGGAGAGAGUGCAUGGACUCACACUCAGGUUUCCCUGGUCCUAGCAUUUCUCAUAUGCAAAUCUCAUUCUCAUAGGGAGAGAAUCCAUCAGGUGUCAGCAAAUCACACUGAGAAGAAUUUGCAUCUCUGAAACUCAGCACUUCAUCUGUGCAGAUCAGGACAAACAGGCUUUCACUUUUGCACUAUUUUGGGCAUGUUUAUUCAAUUAGAAAUGAGCUCAGGCUACACAUGAUGUGUUUCUAUGAUAGUAACUAUCCAUUUGCUGUGUUUUUCAGGCAUUAAUAAUAACUUACACCAAAGGAAUCCAAGCUGGAUUUGCAGUACUAAGUGGGAAUUCAACUUAAUUUCAUAAUUGGAAAUGCAGCUAUUAUCCUUUUAUUGGUGAAAUUAGUUUUGCUUUUUUUUUUUCACCGUGAAUCCUUUCUACAUGUUCUAAACAUCUAUGUUCUGCUUUUUUUUUUUUUUUUUCCCUUACGCUUAUUUUGUUGCCUUUAUGCUUUUUCUAGCCUUUGACCAAUUUUUUGUUUUGUAUCUACAGUCU